rnacentral:rRNA from 1 species
CAUGGCUUUUUGUUAUUUAUAUAAGGUCUAACCUGCCCAAUGAUAGUAAUUAAAUGGCCGCGGUAUUUUGACCGUGCAAAGGUAGCAUAAUCAUUAGUUUUUUAAUUGAAAGCUGGAAUGAAAGGUUGAAUGAGAAAAUGACUGUCUUUAUUAUAUUUAAUUAAAACUUUAUUUUUAAGUUAAAAAGCUUAAAUGUUAUUUAAAGACGAGAAGACCCUUUAGAGUUUUAUAAAAAUUUAGUUUUUGAGGUUUAAGAAUUCAAUUAUGAGAAAAUUAAUUUUUAUUUAGUUGGGGCGAUUAAAAAAUUUAAAAAACUUUUUUUUUUAUUUAACAUUAAUUUAUGAAUAUUUGAUCCAUAAAUUAUGAUUAUAAGAUUAAAUUACCUAAGGGAUAACAGCGUUAUUUUUUUUGAGAGUUCUUAUCGAAAAAAGAGAUUGCGACCUCGAUGUUGGAUUAAAAUUAAAUUAUGGUGUAGGAGCUAUAAC